rnacentral:rRNA from 1 species
UAUUAACUUAAAGGGAAUUGACGGAAGGGCACCACCAGGCGUGGAGCCUGCGGCUUAAUUUGACUCAACACGGGGAAACUCACCAGGUCCAGACACAAUAAGGAUUGACAGAUUGAGAGCUCUUUCUUGAUUUUGUGGGUGGUGGUGCAUGGCCGUUCUUAGUUGGUGGAGUGAUUUGUCUGCUUAAUUGCGAUAACGAACGAGACCUUAACCUGCUAAAUAGCCCGGCUAGCUUUGGCUGGUCGCUGGCUUCUUAGAGGGACUAUCGGCUCAAGCCGAUGGAAGUUUGAGGCAAUAACAGGUCUGUGAUGCA